GAUGAAGAACGUAGCGAAAUGCGAUAAGUAAUGUGAAUUGCAGAAUUCAGUGAAUCAUCGAUUCUUUGAACGCACAUUGCGCCCCUUGGUAUUCCGAGGGGCAUGCCUGUUCGAGCGUCAUUAUAACCCCUCAAGCUCAGCUUGGUGUUGGGGCCUGCUGCACUGGCAGCCCUUAAAAUCAGUGGCGGCGCCAUCUGGCUCUAAGCGUAGUAAUUCUUCUCGCUAUGGAGUCCUGGUGGAUGCUUGCCAUCAACCCCCAAUUUUUCUAUGGUUGACCUCGGAUCAGGUAGGGAUACCCGCUGAACUUAAGCAUAUCAAUAAGCGGAGGA
rnacentral:misc_RNA from 1 species